AUUGAACGCUGGCGGCAUGCCUUACACAUGCAAGUCGAACGGUAACGCGGGGCAACCUGGCGACGAGUGGCGAACGGGUGAGUAAUGCAUCGGAACGUGCCCAGUAGUGGGGGAUAGCCCGGCGAGAGCCGGAUUAAUACCGCAUACGACCUUCGGGUGAAAGGGGGGGAUCGAAAGACCUCUCGCUAUUGGAGCGGCCGAUGUCAGAAUUAGGUAGUUGGUGGGGUAAAAGCCUACCAAGCCAACGAUCUGUAGCUGGUCUGAGAGGACGACCAGCCACACUGGGCCUGGGACACGGCCCAGACUCCUACGGGAGGCAGCAGUGGGGAAUUUUGGACAAUGGGCGCAAGCCUGAUCCAGCCAUGCCGCGUGCGGGAAGAAGGCCUUCGGGUUGUAAACCGCUUUUGUCAGGGAAGAAACGCUUCGAGCUAAUACCUUGGAGUAAUGACGGUACCUGAAGAAUAAGCACCGGCUAACUACGUGCCAGCAGCCGCCGUAA
rnacentral:rRNA from 1 species